rnacentral:rRNA from 1 species
CCUACGGGUGGCAGCAGUGGGGAAUAUUGGGCAAUGGAGGAAACUCUGACCCAGCAACGCCGCGUGAAUGAUGAAGGUCUUCGGAUUGUAAAGUUCUUUUCUUAGGGAAGAAGAAAGUGACGGUACCUUAGGAAUAAGCCUCGGCUAACUACGUGCCAGCAGCCGCGGGAAUACGUAGGAGGCGAGCGUUAUCCGGAAUGACUGGGCGUAAAGGGUGUGUAGGUGGUUUGGCAAGUUAGUAGCGAAAUUCCAAGGCCCAACCUUGGAACUGCUACUAAAACUGUUGGACUUGAGUGCAGGAGAGGCAAGCGGAAUUCCUAGUGUAGCGGUGGAAUGCGUAGAUAUUAGGAGGAACACCAGUGGCGAAGGCGGGUUGCUGGACUGUAACUGACGCUGAGGCACGAAAGCGUGGGGAGCAAACAGGAUUAGAUACCCGUGUAGUC